rnacentral:rRNA from 1 species
CACGUAGGGCGCAAGCGUUGUCCGGAAUUAUUGGGCGUAAAGAGCUCGUAGGCGGACUGUCACGUCUGCUGUGAAAAGCUGGGGCUUAACCCUGGCCUUGCAGUGGAUACGGGCAGACUAGAGGUAGGUAGGGGAGAAUGGAAUUCCCGGUGUAGCGGUGAAAUGCGCAGAUAUCGGAGGAACACCGGUGGCGAAGGCAGCACUCUGGGACGUGACUGACGCUGAGACGCGAAAGCGUGGGGAG